rnacentral:rRNA from 1 species
AUUGAACGCUAGCGGGAUGCUUUACACAUGCAAGUCGAACGAGUGGCGGACGGGUGAGUAAUAUAUCGGAACGUUCCCAGUAGCGGGGGAUAAAUCCUCGAAAGAGUACCUCAUACCGCAUACUAUUGUAGAGACCGAUAUCGGAUUAGCUAGUUGGUGGGGUAAAGGCGCACCAAGGCACCGAUCCGUAGAUGGUUUGAGAGGAGGACCAGACACACUGGGACUGAGACACGGCCCAGACUCCGACGGGAGGCAGCAGUGGGGAAUAUUGUACAAUGGGGGAAACCCUGAUCCAGCCAUCCCGCGUGUGUGAGAAGGCCUUCGGGUUGUAAAGUACUUUUGGCAGAGAAGCGGUAUCUGCAGAAGAAGCACCGGCUAACUACGUGCCAGCAGCCGCGGUAAUUC